rnacentral:rRNA from 1 species
CCUACGGGAGGCAGCAGUGGGGAAUAUUGGACAAUGGGGGCAACCCUGAUCCAGCAAUGCCGCGUGAGUGAUGAAGGCCUUAGGGUUGUAAAGCUCUUUUACCAGGGAUGAUAAUGACAGUACCUGGAGAAUAAGCUCCGGCUAACUCCGUGCCAGCAGCCGCGGUAAUACGGAGGGAGCUAGCGUUGUUCGGAAUUACUGGGCGUAAAGCGCACGUAGGCGGUUACUCAAGUCAGAGGUGAAAGCCCGGGGCUCAACCCCGGAACUGCCUUUGAAACUAGGUAACUAGAAUCCUGGAGAGGUGAGUGGAAUUCCGAGUGUAGAGGUGAAAUUCGUAGAUAUUCGGAAGAACACCAGUGGCGAAGGCGGCUC